ACUAUUUUGGCAGAAUAAUGUAGUGAUUUUAGAAGUCAUAUAAUAUAUAAUUUAAUUAUAUAAAUAGUA
rnacentral:tRNA from 1 species